AGCUUCAUGGAUGCGGCGGGAUAAUUCCCCAUCACCGCGUCGACAGUUGUCCACCGCUGAGACGCAGAAUGGACUGCUAUGUUCGCCAUACCUGCAGGGAUUCAAAAGAAAAUUAGAGAAACUGCCAGCAAAUUCAGAAAUCUGUCAGAGGUGUGACCACAUCAACCCGACUCAUGUGCUUCAAACUUAUUUAGUUUAGGGGCAGGAAAUCAGGACAAAAGCUCCAGCAAGGAAGCAAAAUCAGCCCUUUUCAGUACAAUCCAUUUCCUCCCUCAGCAGCAAUCAUCAAGUACACAACUACGAACAGGGGUAGGCAACUCCAGGCCUCGAGUGCCGGUGUCUUGAAGGUUUUAGAUAUCACCCUGGGUCAACACACCUGAAUCAAAUGAUAAGUUCAUUACUAGGCCUCCGGAGAACUUUAAGACAUGUUGUGGAGGCAAUUCACCUACCCCUGACUAUGAAUACACUAGUACAUGUCCAUGCCAAUGACAAACUUAAUUACCAGUAAUCAGAUGCUUAUUUGUUAAAAUGAAAUUACAACUAUAGGUGUGGUAGAUGCACAGGGUAAAAUAGUUAAAAAAAAAAAAAAAAAAAAAAAAGUGGUCAUUUUAUCAUCUUGCCAAAUGGUUGUCAGCCUAUGUAAUGGUAUAGUGAUAUAGAUAAGAACCUUUACUUUGGCUGUUAACUCCAGGUGGUCUAGGAAAAGUUCAGAUCAAGGAAGAUUUUGUGUAUUAUAGCAAGAAACUCACUUUAUUGAUUCAACAUUAGGUUUGUAACUCACUGAACCACUUGCUAGCUCUAGCUUUGACAUAAAGACACUGAUAACUAAUCAUAUCACCAUCUGUUUGAGCCAUAAAGAAAAUGUGUAUUAAAUCAAUUUAUUUGCAGUUUU